UACGGGGGGUGCUAGCGUUGUUCGGAAUCAUUGGGCGUAAAGCGCGCGCAGGCGGCCAGGCAAGUCGGUUGUGAAAGCCCUAGGCUCAACCUAGGAAUUGCGACCGAAACUGCUUGGCUUGAGUACGGAAGAGGGAUGCGGAAUUCCAGGUGUAGAGGUGAAAUUCGUAGAUAUCUGGAGGAACACCGGUGGCGAAGGCGGCAUCCUGGUCCGAUACUGACGCUGAGGCGCGAAAGCGUGGGGAGCAAACAGG
rnacentral:misc_RNA from 1 species